rnacentral:rRNA from 1 species
AACAGGAUUAGAUACCCUGGUAGUCCACGCCGUAAACGAUGUCGACUUGGAGGUUGUGCCCUUGAGGCGUGGCUUCCGGAGCUAACGCGUUAAGUCGACCGCCUGGGGAGUACGGCCGCAAGGUUAAAACUCAAAUGAAUUGACGGGGGCCCGCACAAGCGGUGGAGCAUGUGGUUUAAUUCGAUGCAACGCGAAGAACCUUACCUACUCUUGACAUCCAGAGAACUUAGCAGAGAUGCUUUGGUGCCUUCGGGAACUCUGAGACAGGUGCUGCAUGGCUGUCGUCAGCUCGUGUUGUGAAAUGUUGGGUUAAGUCCCGCAACGAGCGCAACCCUUAUCCUUUGUUGCCAGCGGUUAGGCCGGGAACUCAAAGGAGACUGCCAGUGAUAAACUGGAGGAAGGUGGGGAUGACGUCAAGUCAUCAUGGCCCUUACGAGUAGGGCUACACACGUGCUACAAUGGCAUAUACAAAGAGAAGCGACCUCGCGAGAGCAAGCGGACCUCAUAAAGUAUGUCGUAGUCCGGAUUGGAGUCUGCAACUCGACUCCAUGAAGUCGGAAUCGCUAGUAAUCGUGGAUCAGAAUGCCACGGUGGAUACGUUCCCGGGCCUUGUACACACCGCCCGUCACACCAUGGGAGUGGGUUGCAAAAGAAGUAGGUAGCUUAACCUUCGGGAGGGCGCUUACCACUUUGUGAUUCAUGACUGGGGUGAAGUCGUAACAAGGUAACC